UUUAUGGAGAGUUUGAUCCUGGCUCAGGAUGAACGCUGGCGGCGUGCCUAAUACAUGCAAGUCGAGCGAACGGACGAGAAGCUUGCUUCUCUGAUGUUAGCGGCGGACGGGUGAGUAACACGUGGAUAACCUACCUAUAAGACUGGGAUAACUUCGGGAAACCGGAGCUAAUACCGGAUAAUAUUUUGAACCGCAUGGUUCAAAAGUGAAAGACGGUCUUGCUGUCACUUAUAGAUGGAUCCGCGCUGCAUUAGCUAGUUGGUAAGGUAACGGCUUACCAAGGCAACGAUGCAUAGCCGACCUGAGAGGGUGAUCGGCCACACUGGAACUGAGACACGGUCCAGACUCCUACGGGAGGCAGCAGUAGGGAAUCUUCCGCAAUGGGCGAAAGCCUGACGGAGCAACGCCGCGUGAGUGAUGAAGGUCUUCGGAUCGUAAAACUCUGUUAUUAGGGAAGAACAUAUGUGUAAGUAACUGUGCACAUCUUGACGGUACCUAAUCAGAAAGCCACGGCUAACUACGUGCCAGCAGCCGCGGUAAUACGUAGGUGGCAAGCGUUAUCCGGAAUUAUUGGGCGUAAAGCGCGCGUAGGCGGUUUUUUAAGUCUGAUGUGAAAGCCCACGGCUCAACCGUGGAGGGUCAUUGGAAACUGGAAAACUUGAGUGCAGAAGAGGAAAGUGGAAUUCCAUGUGUAGCGGUGAAAUGCGCAGAGAUAUGGAGGAACACCAGUGGCGAAGGCGACUUUCUGGUCUGUAACUGACGCUGAUGUGCGAAAGCGUGGGGAUCAAACAGGAUUAGAUACCCUGGUAGUCCACGCCGUAAACGAUGAGUGCUAAGUGUUAGGGGGUUUCCGCCCCUUAGUGCUGCAGCUAACGCAUUAAGCACUCCGCCUGGGGAGUACGACCGCAAGGUUGAAACUCAAAGGAAUUGACGGGGACCCGCACAAGCGGUGGAGCAUGUGGUUUAAUUCGAAGCAACGCGAAGAACCUUACCAAAUCUUGACAUCCUUUGACAACUCUAGAGAUAGAGCCUUCCCCUUCGGGGGG
rnacentral:rRNA from 1 species